UGGGGAAUUUUGGACAAUGGGGGAAACCCUGAUCCAGCCAUCCCGCGUGUGCGAUGAAGGCCUUCGGGUUGUAAAGCACUUUUGGCAGGAAAGAAACGUCAUGGGUUAAUACCCCGUGAAACUGACGGUACCUGCAGAAUAAGCACCGGCUAACUACGUGCCAGCAGCCGCGGUAAUACGGAGGGUGCAAGCGUUAAUCGGAAUUACUGGGCGUAAAGCGUGCGCAGGCGGUUCGGAAAGAAAGAUGUGAAAUCCCAGAGCUCAACUUUGGAACUGCAUUUUUAACUACCGGGCUAGAGUACGUCAGAGGGAGGUGGAAUUCCGGGUGUAGCAGUGAAAUGCGUGGAUAUGCGGAGGAACACCGAUGGCGAAGGCAGCCUCCUGGGAUAACACUGACGCUCAUGCACGAAAGCGUGGGGAGCAAACAGG
rnacentral:rRNA from 1 species